rnacentral:rRNA from 1 species
AUUGAACGCUGGCGGCAGGCCUAACACAUGCAAGUCGAGCGGAGCGGCGGACGGGUGAGAAAUGCCUAGGAAUCUGCCUGGUAGUGGGGGAUAACGUCAGGAAACGGGCGCUAAUAACGCAUACGUACGGAUGAGCCUAGGGCGGAUUAGCUAGUUGGUGGGGUAAAGUCCUACCAAGGCGACGAUCCGUAAAUGGUAUGAGAGGAUGAUCAGUCACACUGGAACUGAGACGCGGUCCAGACUCCUACGUGAGGCAGCAGUGGGGAAUAUUGGACAAUGGUCGAAAGCCUGAUCCAGCCGUGCCGCGUGUGUUAAGAAGGUCUUCGGAUUGUAAAGCACUUUAAGUUGUGAGGCGUUACCAACAGAAUAAGCACCGGCUAACUUCGUGCCAGCAGCCGCGGUAAUAC